AGUGUAAUCCGUGAAAAGCUGAUUAGAUUGAUCACAUAGAGCCCGAUCAAGAAUCUUGGCAGAGGAAUGAAGAAAGUUAUUUAAAUGAUCAAUUUCAAGCGCUGAAGUUGGUAAUGAACACUUGGGCGCUUUAGUCGAAUGUUUCAAAUGCUUGCUAGUUUCACGAAUAUUUACAGUCUUGCUAAUAGAAGGAACAUGAUUUGAUACAUUGAAUGUAGAAGAAUAAGACUGAUACACCGAUGAGAUUUUAAGUUCACAAUCUGAAACAAGAUUGCUGGAUUUAGACUCCAAAGAGUAAGUUUGAGGCGUCAGGUUUGUUGGUUUAAGUAUUUUACAUAAAAAAUUAGAAAGUUGGUC